ensembl:lncRNA
GAAGUAAAAUAAAUUUGAAAAUGUCAUAUUGAUGACUGAUAAUGGUUUAAUUUAAUUAUAAACCUUUUUAUGAAACUUAAUUUUUGAUUCCUAUUUUUGAAUGAAGUAUUGAUGCAGCGCAAGAAGAUGACAGUCUUGGAAGACUAGUCAAUGAUGACCACAUCUAUCCAAACUGCAAAAUGAAGAGGGUCAUAGCAGAGGGCAAGCCACAUCUUUGUCUUUUUGCUCUGAGAGACAUUAAGGCUGGAGAAGAAAUAACGUAUGACUAUGGAGGAUCUGAUUGGCCUUGGAGAAAACAGGUUUGUAACUCUUGAAUUGUGUGAUGUAGAUUAGUGAAUGUGCAUAUUUGCUUUCAUGAGGAGAUCGGUGAAGGAUUUGUGUUUCUUUUGUGAGAUUUAUUCUGCUACUGGUUUUUUAAUCUGAGUUUUUUUAAAUCAAAUGACAGUGAUUGCUAAUGCUAAUAAGUUUGAAGGGACAAAUACAGGAAAAAAGCCUUUUCUUCAGUACAGGGACAAUAUACUUAAGCUAAAUAACCAGAAGUGUGUUCUGCCACUCUUCAGCUUUCCUUAUUCUUAAUUACAGUAGUAUAUUAGCAGACAUCUGUGCUAAAUUGAAAAUUUAAUAAUCAAAUAUAACUGACUUUUAGUUGUAUACAGAGACUAUUUAAGUUGCAUCAUCAAUUGCAUGUUUCCUGUAUACAUGUACUUCAUAUUGUGACUGAUUCAUACAAGUGUUAAUGCUGAUAUGCUAAAUACAGAUAUUGAAUUCAUUUGUCAGGCUAAAGUGCAAGAAACUGCAUCUGAUACACUGUCAUCAGAGGAGGUUCCCCAGAGUCCUUCCCCCUCCAAGAUGCAGGCUAAAGUGCAAAAUACUGCAGCUGAUACACUGUCAUCAGAGGAGGUUCCUCAGAGCCCUUCGUUCUCCGAGAUGCAGGCUAAAACACAAGAAACUAGCGCUGAUACACUGUCAUCAGAAGAGGUUCCUCAGAGCCCUUCCCUCUCCGAGAUGCAGGCUAAAACACAAGAAACGGGCGCUGAUACACUGUCAUCAGAGGAGGUACCUCAGAGCCCUUCCCUCUCCCAUAUGCAGAGUUUACAAGAAGCAGGAGUCUUUCAUUCAAUGAAAACUAUAAAAUCAGAACCGCUUGUGAACUACACUGAUUCUGAUGAUGAGAGUCCAUCCAUAAGUCCUGACCAAUUGAAGUCAACAUGCCAGAUGACAAGACAACUAGAUUUGGAUGAGCACUUUGACUUUACAUCCGAUCCUAGUGGUGAGGAAUAUAUUCCUGGGACAAGUGAAGAGUCUUCUGAUAGUACAGACACAAGCAUAGCUCUCACGCCAGUUAAACAGGCAAAGAUAUUAAAACUUUGCAACCUAAAAAUGGAUGGUAACAAAGGUGAUUCACCAAAAAAUCUAAAUAAGUCCAUGAAGCAAAAGCACAACAGAGGGCGCCCACAAAAAAAAGGAAGCAACUUGGGUAGGAAACGUAAACUUCAUUCUUCAGACAGUCCUUCAACCAGUUGCUCAUCGAAAAGUAGAGGGGCAGACAAUCUAAACUCACUAAGUGAACUCAAGGACAGCCUACCUGUUUGUACCUCUUCCCCCUCUAAACAUGAAGUGAUUGAUGAUUCUGUCUUCAUACCUGGUGUAUGCAAGAAGGAAGAUGGGUCAAGAUUGUACAACAAAAAACAAUACUGUUUGUAUUGCAAGUCUGGAUAUAUAAAAAUGGCAAGGCAUUGGGAACGUGCUCAUCACAAUAAACCAGAUGUUGCACUGGCUUUGUCCUUCCCUAAAGGCUCCAAAGAAAGACGGCUACAUCUAGAGCAUGUAAGAAACAGAGGAAACUUUGCACACAAUGUUGAAGUAUUGAAUACUGGGACUGGAAAGCUUGUUUCUCGAAAACAACCAAAAAAGGACUGUUCAGGAAAAGAUUUCUUGCAUUGUGUAUAUUGUCAUGGCCUUUUCACCAAGAAAGUCCUGUGGCGACACAGGAAGAUCUGCAAGUUCAACACUGGUGUUGAACAAAAACUUGGUAAAACCCGUAUUCAGGCACUCUGUGCACUUGCUGUAAAACCGCCACCUGGUGUCAGAGAAGAGGUUUGGAAGUUGUUGAACAAGAUGGUCCAAGAUGAAGUAUAUCAUGCUGUUAAAGCUGACUCUAUGAUCAUGGAGUUUGGUGAGCAUCUUUGCAACAGAUUCGGACAUGAUGUUGCCAAACAUGAAUAUAUUCGCCAGAAAAUGAGAGAGCUCGGAAGGCUUCUAAUAUGCUCAAAGAAAAUCACUUCAUUGAAAACAAUUCAAGAACACGUCAAGCCCUCAAAUUUCAUGCAUGUCAUUAGGUCAGUAAAACAUCUAGCGGGUCAUGAUGGUGAAACCAAUACAUACAAGUGCCCAAGUCUUGCCCUCAAAAUUGGAUACACUUUAUCAAAAAUUUCAAUGCUUGUUGAAAGUCAAGCUAACGUACAGGGCAACAAGAGUGCAGCAAAAGAAGCUUGUGCUUUUCGACAAAUCUAUGAAAGCAGAUGGCAUGAAAUGAUAUCGGCUGCAUCCCUGAGAACAUUGCAGGAGUCUAAGUGGAAUUCUCCUCUUUUGCUCCCGUUUACAAAAGACGUCCAGACUCUCCAUUCUUAUUUAGAUCAGAAGCAAAAACAAUACUUGGAUGAGUUGUCCAAAGAAAGCUCCUCUCAGAUGUGGACACAGCUCACCAAGGUAACUCUGACGCAAGUCAUUCUGUUCAACCGGCGAAGAGCAGGGGAGGUGUCUCACAUGUCCUUAUCAGCAUAUUUGUGCAAAAAUCGAUCAAACCCUCAAGAAGAUAUGAAUGAGGCCCUCUCUGAUCUAGAGAAGAAGCUAUGUCAACAUUUCAGGAGAAUAGAAAUAAGAGGGAAAAGAGGAAGAAAAGUGCCUGUGCUUCUCACCCCAGCAAUGCAGACAACAAUAGAUCUGCUUGUCAGCAAGCGCAAAGAUUGUGGAGUUCUGCAGGAAAACCCUUACUUGUUUGCAAGACCAUGUGCAAUGACCUGUUACCGUGGGUCAGAUUGCCUUCGACAUUUUGCCAAGGUCUGUGGUGCAAAAACACCAGAAACUCUCACUUCUACAAAACUGCGUAAACAAACAGCAACCCUAUCUCAAGUUCUAAACCUCAGCAAUACAGAACUAGAUCAGUUAGCUGGUUUUCUUGGACAUGACAUACGAAUACACAGGCAGUUCUACAGACUUCCUGAGGGCACCCUCCAGCUUGCCAAAAUUAGCAAAGUCCUUUUGGCUCUGGAACAGGGACGCAUGACAGAAUUCAAGGGCAAAAGCCUUGAUGACAUCAUCAUUAAUCCAGAGGGUACUGUCUUUAGAUUUUUUUAA